rnacentral:rRNA from 1 species
CCUACGGGUGGCAGCAGUGAGGAAUAUUGGUCAAUGGACGCGAGUCUGAACCAGCCAAGUAGCGUGAAGGAUGACUGCCCUAUGGGUUGUAUACUUCUUUUAUAUGGGAAUAAAAUGUUCCACGUGUGGCUUUUUGUAUGUACCCUAUGAAUAAGGAUCGGCUAACUCCGUGCCAGCAGCCGCGGUAAUACGGAGGAUCCGAGCGUUAUCCGGAUUUAUUGGGUUUAACGGGAGCGUAGGUGGAUUGUUAAGUCAGUUGUGAAAGUUUGCGGCUCAACCGUAAAAUUGCAGUUGAAACUGGCAGUCUUGAGUACAGUAGAGGUAGGCGGAAUUCGUGGUGUAGCGGUGAAAUGCUUAGAUAUCACGAAGAACUCCGAUUGCGAAGGCAGCUUACUGGACUGCAACUGACACUGAGGCUCGAAAGUGUGGGUAUCAAACAGGAUUAGAUACCCCUGUAGUC